GAAUUCGCCCUUAGAGUUUGAUCCUGGCUCAGGACGAACGCUGGCGGCAGGCUUAACACAUGCAAGUCGAACGCUCUCUUCGGAGAGAGUGGCAGACGGGCGAGUAACGCGUGGGAAUCUACCCAGUACUACGGAACAACAGUUAGAAAUGACUGCUAAUACCGUAUACGCCCUCCGGGGGAAAGAUUUAUCGGUAUUGGAUGAGCCCGCGUUUGAUUAGCUAGUUGGUGAGGUAAUGGCUCACCAAGGCGACGAUCAAUAGCUGGUCUGAGAGGAUGAUCAGCCACACUGGGACUGAGACACGGCCCAGACUCCUACGGGAGGCAGCAGUGGGGAAUAUUGGACAAUGGGCGAAAGCCUGAUCCAGCCAUGCCGCGUGUGUGAUGAAGGCCCUAGGGUUGUAAAGCACUUUCAACGGUGAAGAUAAUGACGGUAACCGUAGAAGAAGCNCCGGCUAACUUCGUGCCAGCAGCCGCGGUAAUAAGGGCG
rnacentral:rRNA from 1 species